UCUUCAACACAGGAAAUUGUAGCUGCGGCUCAUGUCACCCUUGGAUGUCAUCGAUCCCAUCAACGUUCUUGGCAGGCUGCAGCUGGUCUAGACUGCGGAGACAGCAAGAUUGGUACUGAGAGGAUG